rnacentral:rRNA from 1 species
UGAGGAAUUUUGCGCAAUGGGAGCAAUCCUGACGCAGCAACGCCGCGUGGGUGAUGAAGGCCUUCGGGUCGUAAAGCCCUGUCAGGUGGGAAGAAUGUCCCGGAACUGAACAGGUUUCGGGAGUGACGGUACCACCAGAGGAAGCACCGGCUAACUCCGUGCCAGCAGCCGCGGUAAUACGGAGGGUGCAAGCGUUAUUCGGAAUUACUGGGCGUAAAGCGCGUGUAGGCGGUCCUGCAGGUCUGAUGUGAAAGCCCCGGGCUUAACCCGGGAAGUGCAUUGGAAACUGCAGGUCUUGAGUACUGGAGAGGAUGGGGGAAUUCCCGGUGUAGAGGUGAAAGUCGUAGAGAGCGGGAGGAAUAUCAGUGGCGAAGGCGCCCAUCUGGACGGUAACUGACGCUGAGACGCGAAAGCGUGGGGAGCAAACA